rnacentral:rRNA from 1 species
GAUGAACGCUGGCGGCGUGCCUAAUACAUGCAAGUCGAGCGAAUGGAUUAAGAGCUUGCUCUUAUGAAGUUAGCGGCGGACGGGUGAGUAACACGUGGGUAACCUGCCCAUAAGACUGGGAUAACUCCGGGAAACCGGGGCUAAUACCGGAUAACAUUUUGAACCGCAUGGUUCGAAAUUGAAAGGCGGCUUCGGCUGUCACUUAUGGAUGGACCCGCGUCACAUUAGCUAGUUGGUGGGGUAACGGCUCACCAAGGCAACGAUGCGUAGCCGACCUGAGAGGGUGAUCGGCCACACUGGGACUGGGACACGGCCCAGACUCCUACGGGAGGCAGCAGUAGGGAAUCUUCCACAAUGGACGAAAGUCUGACGGAGCAACGCCGCGUGAGUGAUGAAGGCUUUCGGGUCGUAAAACUCUGUUGUUAGGGAAGAACAAGUGCUAGUUGAAUAAGCUGGCACCUUGACGGUACCUAACCAGAAAGCCACGGCUAACUACGUGCCAGCCGCCGCAGUAA